rnacentral:rRNA from 1 species
ACGAACGCUGGCGGCGCGCCUAACACAUGCAAGUCGAACGAGAGAGAGGAAGCUUGCUUCCUCAAUCGAGUGGCGAACGGGUGAGUAACGCGUGAGGAACCUGCCUCAAAGAGGGGGACAACAGUUGGAAACGACUGCUAAUACCGCAUAAGCCCACAGGUCGGCAUCGACCAGAGGGAAAAGGAGCAAUCCGCUUUGAGAUGGCCUCGCGUCUGAUUAGCUAGUUGGUGAGGUAACGGCCCACCAAGGCAACGAUCGGUAGCCGGACUGAGAGGUUGAACGGCCACAUUGGGACUGAGACACGGCCCAGACUCCUACGGGAGGCAGCAGUGGGGAAUAUUGCACAAUGGGGGAAACCCUGAUGCAGCGACGCCGCGUGGAGGAAGAAGGUCUUCGGAUUGUAAACUCCUGUUGUUGAGGAAGAUAAUGACGGUACUCAACAAGGAAGUGACGGCUAACUACGUGCCAGCAGCCGCGGUAAAACGUAGGUCACAAGCGUUGUCCGGAAUUACUGGGUGUAAAGGGAGCGCAGGCGGGAAGACAAGUUGGAAGUGAAAUCUAUGGGCUCAACCCAUAAACUGCUUUCAAAACUGUUUUUCUUGAGUAGUGCAGAGGUAGGCGGAAUUCCCGGUGUAGCGGUGGAAUGCGUAGAUAUCGGGAGGAACACCAGUGGCGAAGGCGGCCUACUGGGCACCAACUGACGCUGAGGCUCGAAAGUGUGGGUAGCAAACAGGAUUAGAUACCCUGGUAGUCCACACCGUAAACGAUGAUUACUAGGUGUUGGAGGAUUGACCCCUUCAGUGCCGCAGUUAACACAAUAAGUAAUCCACCUGGGGAGUACGACCGCAAGGUUGAAACUCAAAGGAAUUGACGGGGGCCCGCACAAGCAGUGGAGUAUGUGGUUUAAUUCGACGCAACGCGAAGAACCUUACCAAGUCUUGACAUCCUGCGACGCACAUAGAAAUAUGUGUUUCCUUCGGGACGCAGAGACAGGUGGUGCAUGGUUGUCGUCAGCUCGUGUCGUGAGAUGUUGGGUUAAGUCCCGCAACGAGCGCAACCCUUACUGUCAGUUACUACGCAAGAGGACUCUGGCAGGACUGCCGUUGACAAAACGGAGGAAGGUGGGGACGACGUCAAAUCAUCAUGCCCUUUAUGUCUUGGGCUACACACGUACUACAAUGGCUAUAACAAAGAGAAGCGAGACAGUGAUGUGGAGCAAAACUCAAAAAAAUAGUCUCAGUUCGGAUUGAAGGCUGAAAUUCGCCUUCAUGAAGCCGGAAUUGCUAGUAAUGGCAGGUCAGCAUACUGCCGUGAAUACGUUCCCGGGCCUUGUACACACCGCCCGUCACACCAUGGGAGUUGGGAGUGCCCAAAGUCGGCGAGGUAACCGCAAGGAGCCAGCCGCCUAAGGCAAGACCAAUGACUGGGGUG